CCUACGGGGGGCAGCAGUCGAGAAUCAUUCACAAUGGGGGAAACCCUGAUGGUGCGACGCCGCGUGGGGGAAUGAAGGUCUUCGGAUUGUAAACCCCUGUCAUGUGGGAGCAAAUUAAAAAGAUAGUACCACAAGAGGAAGAGCCGGCUAACUCUGUGCCAGCAGCCGCGGUAAUACAGAGGUCUCAAGCGUUGUUCGGACUCACUGGGCGUAAGGCGUGCGUAGGCUGUUUCGUAAGUCGUGUGUGAAAGGCGCGGGCUCAACCCGCGGACGGCACAUGAUACUGCGAGACUAGAGUAAUGGAGGGGGAACCGGAAUUCUCGGUGUAGCAGUGAAAUGCGUAGAUAUCGAGAGGAACACUCGUGGCGAAGGCGGGUUCCUGGACAUUAACUGACGCUGAGGCACGAAGGCCAGGGGAGCGAAAGGGAUUAGAUACCCGUGUAGUC
rnacentral:rRNA from 1 species